GAUGAACGCUGGCGGCGUGCCUAAUACAUGCAAGUCGAGCGAACAGACGAGGAGCUUGCUCCUCUGACGUUAGCGGCGGACGGGUGAGUAACACGUGGAUAACCUACCUAUAAGACUGGGAUAAAUUCGGGAAACCGGAGCUAAUACCGGAUAAUAUAUUGAACCGCAUGGUUCAAUAGUGAAAGACGGUUUUGCUGUCACUGAUAGAUGGAUCCGCGCAGAAUUAGCUAGUUGGUAAGGUAACGGAUUACCAAGGCAACGAUGCGUAGCCGACCUGAGAGGGUGAUCGGCCCCACUGGAACUGAGACACGGCCCAGAUCCCUAGGGGAGGCAGCAGGAGGGAAUUUUCCGCAAUGGGCGAAAGCCUGACGGAGCAACGCCGGGUGAGUGUUGAAGGCCUUCGGAUCGUAAAACUCUGUUAUUAGGGAAGAACAAAUGUGUAAGUAACUAUGCACGUCUUGACGGUACCUAAUCAGAAAGCCACGGCUAAUUACGU
rnacentral:rRNA from 1 species